UCUCCCCCAGCCAAACAGCAAUUUCCCUGUUUUAAAAAUUCUGCCACAGGCAGAGACCUCGCAGGUGCCUUUUGAAGGCCACCAGUUCUGCACCGAUGUUGCACGGCCACCUGGGCUGGGGAAACUGGAGGGACGCACGUCCAGGACAUCAGAAGCGUGCUGCCAUCGCCGUGCCCCCAUGGGAGGCCAGCACAAAGCUCCAGGGCACGAGAAUAAUGAAUAGGUGUGAAGCCACAAGGUCUAGAAGGUGGAGGAGACUGCCAGGUAGGGCCACUUUCUCUGCGACCCAUCUCCUGUGGGGUGUGGGGAGGAGGAGAGAAAGAUGAAGCCUUUGCUCAAUCUGUCUCGACAGUUUGCACAAAGGGAAUCUCGUGUUUGCACAGCCGUUACUUCCAGCCAGAAGUAACACAUGCAAAUACCAAACUGAGAAAUGCUGACCUUUGCUGGCCCCAAUGCUCUUCUCCAUCUUCCUUUCUCGAGCUGUUUUCUGACUGCAGCAGUUGGGUCAGAGCUGUAUCGACAGCAUCCUCUCUGCAGCUGCAGUGUCCAAAUCUCAAUUUCUUGCUUGAUUCCGUCAUCAGCACUUUCUUCUCCUGAUAUUUCUUCGAUUCUUUUCUGCUCGCUUUCACCUCUUUUCACGCCCUGUGCUCCUUCCUUCAGCCCACCCCCUUCAAACUCCCACCUGGAUCACGAGCCGGGACAGAGGUUACCUGCCCGAGCACUACGCUUGGCCCCAGGCAGCAGCCGAGGAUGGGAACCCCUCAGGUGGGCUGGGGAAGGGCGAUGCCAGGCGCCUGGGGCAUGUUUUAGCAGCGAUGUGUUCCCAGCAAACAGCCCCAUUCUCAUCCGUGUAACUUCAACAGCAAGAGCAUAAGGAAAGGGGUUUUCCAGGUCCAAAACCUCCCAUGACAGCCUGUGAGGGCAGUUCUUUCCCGGGAGGGCACAUUCAUCCGUUCUGCAGCGGUCUCUUCUGCAGUCUCCCUGCUCCUCGUGCUUCUUCCCCUCUCCUUCUGCCACCUCUCCAGCCCCCACUUCUCACCAUGCUCCCCUUCUACAAAUGAGGAGCUGCCACCCCGUAUCCUGACACCCUCCUUGCCCCGAGACCUCCCCCCAAAUUCUCCCCCCAUUGGACACAUCCCAACCUUUUCCUGCACAGAAGCAGGGGAAAGCUGAGUGAAGGGGGUCCUUUACCUCUCCCUAGCACUCCUCCUCCAGCUUUAUGGGGAUGGUCACCACCAAAGACCCCCAACAAGUAGAAGAUGCAAGUGUUGGAGCAGGAGCCAGGCCGUGCCUGUGCUUAGGCACAAAGCAAGAAAGGAGAACAUGGGGAAGAUGUCAAAGGAAUGCCAUGCGACAGCAAGGGCUGCCAUCGGAGAUGAGCCCCGGAGUGUGCACCCUUUGUGGAGUUCUCCCACGUGGUGCAGAUGAGACCGGAUUUAUUGUGGACCUUUCCUGCCCUAAACCUUGCACGAUGGCUUCAUCCAUCCUGGCUAAAUAAAACCGGAGCAGCCUUAUGGCUGCUGGCUUAGAUGGAGAAGUGAGUCCCCCUCCUUUAUGCUGGGAAAAUAAUGACAUAAGGCCACCGUGUCCUGGAACAGAGACACCACGCCACAAUUUAUACACAAAAUAUGGUAUGAGCUAAUGUAGAGAUUGCCUUCCUGACCUUGCUGACCCCACAACAAUGACAUGAAAUGUCCUCACAUGUCCUCACAGCUUGCUAUCGUGCUUUUUAUGUACCCCAUCGUACACAAUUUUUCAGCAACAUCCCAACAUAAAAGCCCAUUUAUCCCUUUAUCAACUUGCAA